rnacentral:rRNA from 1 species
GACGAACGCUGGCGGCGUGCCUAAUACAUGCAAGUAGAACGCUGAAGGAGGAGCUUGCUUCUCCGGAUGAGUUGCGAACGGGUGAGUAACGCGUAGGUAACCUGCCUGGUAGCGGGGGAUAACUAUUGGAAACGAUAGCUAAUACCGCAUAAGAGUAGAUGUCGCAUGACAUUUGCUUAAAAGGUGCAACUGCACCACUACCAGAUGGACCUGCGUUGUAUUAGCUAGUUGGUGAGGUAACGGCUCACCAAGGCAACGAUACAUAGCCGGCCUGAGAGGGUGAUCGGCCACACUGGGACUGAGACACGGCCCAGACUCCUACGGGAGGCAGCAGUAGGGAAUCUUCGGCAAUGGACGGAAGUCUGACCGAGCAACGCCGCGUGAGUGAAGAAGGUUUUCGGAUCGUAAAGCUCUGUUGUAAGAGAAGAACGAGUGUGAGAGUGGAAAGUUCACACUGUGACGGUAUCUUACCAGAAAGGGACGGCUAACUACGUG